UGGUAUGUGGGUGAAGUUGGAAUUUCCAUACCUAUUUAGCCAACUAUUUGACUUGAAUAGUGCAGUGAGUAGUAAUCCGAAACACAAAAUUUAAAGAACGUCGAAUUUAGCACGUUAGAGCUAGGUAAUUGUGAAGCUAAAUUUAUUUUGGAUUUAUGUUAAGUUCUAGUACUGAAACAUUGUAAAAUUGUGUGUUUCAGUUGAAAAGAAUACUGAGAAAUAAUCUGAAUCACUGAGUCAAGGGCUAGAGGCGACUCGUACAAGGUUUGUGCACAACAUAAAAUCUUUCUGUAAAUUCUCUUUGACACUUUUUUUUUUAUGAAUAAAUUAUGAUUUAUUUUGAUUGCAAAUUUGUGAUUGAAAUGAAUAUUAUGCUUUUGGCCUAAAUUGUUAGAAAUUUAAUUGUAUGUGUUUGAAUUGUUAAUAAAUGUUUAGUAAAUUGUUAAUAUAGUUUUGAAACCACAGUGCCAUGACCAUAUAUUUGAAUGCCUCACUAGCAUGACUAAUACGAGGAAUUGGUUUUGAAUUUUGAUUCCCUCUUUGGCUGAAAUGUUGAGGCGUGUGCCAGUAGAGGAAAAAAUUGAAUGGGUACCCAUAGAUUGAGUUAGCUAGCCUUGUGAUUCCUCAUAAGCCUCUGGCUAUUGAUAUGAACAUUGUACUGAUAACAUGGUAUAACUGUGUGUUUUUAUGAAAUUGUUUUGUGACUUUCGAAAUGAAAAUGUUUGACUAAAAGUAUAAAUUGUGUUUUGUAUCUGCUUUUCCUUUUCGGUACCAUAAUUGAAUAAAUGUGAUUUAAUUUACAUAUAAAAUUGUAUUUUUGUUAUGUUGUGCACCACUGAGUCAUUGUACUCAGUGAUAGCUUUUCAUUGCUGUCGCAAAUAGAGAGACUAGUAGAGCAUCGGAGUGAGCUGCUAAGGAUUUCAGAGCUACUUCUGGACCUUUUGUCGGGUAUAAUCUUAUACUCUGAUUGUACAUGUUUAUUUUGAUGUAAUUGACUGUAUGUACAUUUGUAAAUUGGUUAUGAGCAGUUGUACAGAUUUUGUA
rnacentral:misc_RNA from 1 species